UGGCCUGGGAGACCAGUCAGGUGUUGGGCAUCAAGCAAGCUCCUCUCUACUGAUUUGUCUCCUCAG
ensembl:miRNA